GGGGGUCGAAAAUGUGGGAUAUGGUCUGAAGCUGCCAAAAUCGCCUCCGGACGCAUUUUCGGCUAAGAAAUCAUGUGCUAUAGUUCACGGGAGCCCUAAAAUGGCCACACCGGCAACCGUGUCGAAAACGUAGGGGAUAGCCCGAAGCCCUAAAAUUGGCCUCCGAACUCGUGUUCGGCCAAGAAAACGUGUGCUAUAGGUCACGGGAGC
rnacentral:lncRNA from 1 species